GACGUAGGGCGCGAGCGUUGUCCGGAUUUAUUGGGCGUAAAGAGCUCGUAGGCGGUUCGGUAAGUCGGGGUGUGAAAAACUCUGGCUCAACCCAGAGACGCCACCCGAUACUGCUGUGACUAGAGUGCGGUAGGGGAGCGGGGAAUUCCUGGUGUAGCGGUGGAAUGCGCAGAUAUCAGGAGGAACACCAAUAGCGAAGGCAGCUCGCUGGGACGUUACUGACACUGAGGCGCGAAAAGCGUGGGGAGCGAACAGG
rnacentral:rRNA from 1 species